rfam:Schizosaccharomyces pombe complete mitochondrial genome
GGGGAUUUAAUUUAAUUGGUUAGAAUAUUGUGUUUGCACCACAAAAAUCUGGUUUCGAGUACCAGAAUCUCCA